GUGUUACUUUAAACUAGUGGUGCGGUUUAAAUUAGGCUACAGUGCAACUGACAAGUGAUGAUCUAAAUCAGAACCAAAACUUCUUAGAUCAGGCAAGAACAAAGAUGUGUGUGAACACUGUGUUUUCCAUGCUGUGUUUGGAGGUGGAGCAAAUAAAGGAGCACUAAAGGGACGGUCAGGGUUGCAGUGUAUAGCUGACCCGGAAUCCCUGAGUACAAGAGAGGAAUACCCCAUGAGCAGUGCACCAGUCCAUCGCAUGGUACCACACACAAGCAUUCACUCACACAUUCACUCCUAGGGGCAAUUUAGCACAGUGAAUUCAUCUGCUGAGUGUAUUUUUGGGAGGCAUGAGGAAACCGGAAUACCCACAGGAAACCCGCUCAUACACAGGGAGAACAUACCAAAUUCCUUAUCAACAGAGACCAGAGUGGGGAUUAAACCCACAACCCUGGGCUCCUGCAGCUGUGCAGCACGCAAGAUACCUGCAGCAUCACAGUGUUACCCCAUAUCCUGAAAAAAUAAAUAAAUAAAAAUAGUAAUAAUCUUCACACACUUCUGUCUUAUAUAUUAAAUUACUGAGUGCAUGUAAAUACACUCACUGAUAGUUGUAACUCACCAUCUAUUUGCAUACUGGGUGCAUCUUCCCUCCUCACCCACCAUCAGUGUGGUCAUUUCCCCCUAGGUUAGCUUGUGAUUUAUAUUUUGGUGUCAUUGGUUGGCCCUCAGUGUUAAAGUUUGUUUUAAAUCUCUCAGCUGCUGAGCAUGAAUUUAUUUUGGCUGAACUCUGUGGUGGCAGCUGAUGCAGAAUUAUGUUAUUACCAUAUGUUAAAAAGGUGGUUGUUAUUAUUGCCGCUAUUAAAAUAUUAAAAUAUGUAUUGAUGGGGGCUCCAAGUGGUCCAGCGGGCUAAGGGCUGCCACUAUGAUCAGGAGAUCGUCAGUUUUAAUCCUGUUCGUGUAGCUUGCCAUCGGCUACAGGACUCCUGAGAAAGCACAAUUAGCCUUGCUCUCUUUGGAUGGGUAGAUGGUGCCCUUUUUCCCCACAUCACUUCUAGGGUGAUGUGGAUCAGCACAAGGCGUCUGUGAGCUGAUGUAUCAAAACCGAGUAGCUGGGCUUACCUCCGAGCGCGUUGUGAUGCUACUCAGCAAUGCUACAUCAGCAGUUUGAAAAAAGGCGGUGGCUGACUUUACAUGUAUUGGAGGAGGCAUGUGCUAGUCUUCACCCUCCUGGUGUUGGGGACUCCUACUGAGUUUGUUAGGUAAUUGGCUUUGUAAAUUAGAGAGAAAAUGAAAAAAAAAAUUAUAUGCUGUAUUGGUUUAAAUUGUUUUUC